rnacentral:rRNA from 1 species
UACGUAGGGGGCAAGCGUUGUCCGGAUUUAUUGGGCGUAAAGAGCGUGUAGGCGGCUAGGUAGGUCCGUUGUGAAAACUCGAGGCUCAACCUCGAGACGCCGGUGGAAACCAUCUAGCUAGAGUCCGGAAGAGGAGAGUGGAAUUCCUGGUGUAGCGGUGAAAUGCGCAGAUAUCAGGAGGAACACCGGUGGCGAAGGCGGCGACCUGGGUAGAUACUGACGCUGAGGUGCGAAAGCGUGGGGAGCAAACAGG